rnacentral:rRNA from 1 species
AGUGAACGCUGGCGGUAGGCCUAACACAUGCAAGUCGAACGGCAGCACAGUAAGAGCUUGCUCUUACGGGUGGCGAGUGGCGGACGGGUGAGGAAUACAUCGGAAUCUACUUUUUCGUGGGGGAUAACGUAGGGAAACUUACGCUAAUACCGCAUACGACCUACGGGUGAAAGCAGAGGAUCUUCGGACCUUGCGCGAUUGAAUGAGCCGAUGUCGGAUUAGCUAGUUGGCGGGGUAAAGGCCCACCAAGGCGACGAUCCGUAGCUGGUCUGAGAGGAUGAUCGGCCACCCUGGAACGGAGACACGGUCCAGACUCCUACGGGAGGCAGCAGUGGGGAAUAUUGGACAAUGGGCGCAAGCCUGAUCCAGCCAUACCGCGUGGGUGAAGAAGGCCUUCGGGUUGUAAAGCCCUUUUGUUGGGAAAGAAAAGCAGCAGGUUAAUACCCCGCUGUUCUGACGGUACCCAAAGAAUAAGCACCGGCUAACUUCGUG